CACGCCGUAAACGAUGAGCACUAGGUGUCGGGGUCGCAAGGCCUCGGUGCCGGAGUUAACGCAAUAAGUGCUCCGCCUGGGGAGUACGGCCGCAAGGCUAAAACUCAAAGGAAUUGACGGGGGCCCGCACAAGCAGUGGAGUAUGUGGUUUAAUUCGAAGCAACGCGAAGAACCUUACCAGGGCUUGACAUCCUCGGACGACACUAGAGAUAGUGUUUUCUCUUCGGAGACUGAGAGACAGGUGG
rnacentral:rRNA from 1 species